AAAAUUAGAGUGUUCAAAGCAGGCAGAUUCAAUUUUCUGCCACCGAAUACAUUAGCAUGGGAUAAUGGAAUAGGACCCUGUCCUCCUAUUUUCAGUUGGUUUUGGCAGCGCGAGGACUAGGGUAAUGAUUAAUAGGGAUAGUUGGGGGCAUUAAUAUUUAAUUGUCAGAGGUGAAAUUCUUGGAUUUAUGAAAGAUUAACUUCUGUGAAAGCAUCUGCCAAGGAUGUUUUCAUUAAUCAAGAACGAAAGUUAGGGGAUCGAAGACGAUCAGAUACCGUCGUAGUCUUAACCAUAAACGAUGCCGACCAGCGAUUAGGAGACGUUGAAUACAAAACACCACCAUCGGCGCGGUCGUCCUUGGCGCGUUCGUGUUCACGCACGGGCGCGCGAGGGCGGCUUAGCCCGGUGGCACCGGUGAA
rnacentral:rRNA from 1 species